AUUGUAUAGACACUAGAAAUUCGUCCGCUCCUUCGAUUGCCUCCUGUUUCAAGGUGAAUCAUUGCAAACCACGCCACUAGCACUCCAACGACCACCGACAAUCAUAACAGCUCCCCUUUCCAUCGACCAUCGCCAUCAGGUUCACCGCCCACAAUGACCUUCACCACCGCCGUCACAGACCGUCUUCGACAUAUUAGUAACCACCACCGAACAUCCACCUUCACCUAUAUUACACCUAUACCUUAGUCUUAUCGUAUCUCUCCCUCUCUUAUUCUUUCAUCUGAUUUUGUUCAAUUGCUUCUUUUCUCUCUCUUGCUUCAUCGAUUCAGGUAAAGGCUUGAACCCCCUGUUUAAAUCUUCAUCAAUUGAUGGUGAUUUUCUAUUUCCAUUUAAGAUUUGGAUUUACGCUUCGCCUCUAUGUAUUCGUUUUUAUUCCCGUCAAUCAAUCAAAUAAUUAGAGUUCAAUUAUGCAACAUAAACAUAAUCGAUGGUUAGGCAGGUAUGAGAGGUUGGUCCCUAAAUACACUCAAUUUAAUGGACUUCAAGAACAAUUGAAUGCGAUUUUUUAAAAAAAAAGGCCUUAAUCAAAAGUUCAUAGUGGCAGAUCUUAUAAUUUGGAGAUGAUAUGGGUUAUUUGCAGGUGUUGCUUCUUCCCCAACCCUACAAAUGUCAAGAAAAAUGAAUGAUUAGUUUUCUAUUAAGAGCAUCAGUGAUCAGGAUGGCUAUGAGGUUCUUCAAAAAGAUGUGGAUGGGUAAAAUACAGUGAAGUUUUUUGUUCGCCUUUAAGAAACAACAAUGUACUUCCUUAUUUUUCGUUAUUAUAGCAUUAUACUUUUUUUUCUUAUUACCAUAUUGUACUUUGUUUACUAUGAUUUUUUUCUUGGGUGGGUAGAUUAAUUUGAUUUCUACAUUGUCUUUUGGAAUCCACUACAUUACAGACCUGAAAAUAUUAUAUAGUAUUAGUAUCUUUUGAAUUUGAUUUCAGUACCUUGUCAGAUUAUUUUUGGUGUGGGUAGUUGAUGUUGAUCAAGGAGUAGUUCUUAUUUCGGGGUGGAUAAGUUGGUUUAUUUAUCGGUUGUCUUAUUAUUUAUAAAGAGCACAUUAAAAGAAAG